UGCAUUCACUACUGUAAGUCGCUCUGGAUAAGAGUCACUGCUAAAUGACUAAAA
rfam:Salmo salar isolate Sally breed double haploid chromosome ssa14, whole genome shotgun sequence.